CGCAGAAGGAACCGGAGUUCGGAAAGGGUUUUCUCCCAAAACCCGAUCGAAGGAGAUUCCGGUCUGAUGAACAUGAGGAGCACAAAACUCCACGUGGACGAGCACCUCGGGCACCAAAAAAGUAAGAUGCCCGACAGAGAAAAGGAGUCAUGUGACUCACAACAGGAAUCCCACUCACCAAAAAGAAAACGACAAAGGUGAGUGGGUUAUCAUGCAGGCGGACAACUCACCAAAAGCAGAAGUGAGUGGAGGAUAAAAGCAGCAGGCCCCUCCUACAACAUUAUCAGCUGAAUAAUG
rnacentral:lncRNA from 1 species